rfam:Danio rerio chromosome 4, GRCz11 reference primary assembly.
GCAUUGGUGGUUCAGUGGUAAAGUUCUUGCCUGCCCCGCGGGAGACCCGGGUCCGAUUCCCGGCCAAUGCA